rnacentral:rRNA from 1 species
GACGAACGCUGGCGGCGUGCUUAACACAUGCAAGUCGAACGAAGUGGCGAACGGGUGAGUAACGCGUAAUCAACCUGCCCUUCAGCGGGGUACCACAGUUGGAAACGACUGCUAAUACCUCAUCCUUAAGGCGGGGAUUGCGUGGGAUUAGCGAGGUGGAGGGGUAACGGCCCACCAAGGCGAUGAUCAGUAGCCGGUCUGGAAGGUGGAACGGCCAAAUUGGGACUGAGACACGGCCCAGACUCCUACGGGAGGCAGCAGUGGGGAAUCUUCCGCAAUGGACGAAAGUCUGACGGAGCAACGCCGCGUGAGUGAUGACGGCCUUCGGGUUGUAAAGCUCUGUUAAUCGGGACGCGGUACCGGAAUAGAAAGCCACGGCUAACUACGUGCCAGCAGCCGCGGUAAUAC